rnacentral:tRNA from 1 species
UUUAAUAUGGCAGAAUAGUGCAAUGGACUUAAACCCCAUUUAUAAAAUUAAAAUUUUUAUUAAAA